rnacentral:rRNA from 1 species
GGGUAGGGGAGCGUUCUGUAAGCGGAUGAAGGUGAAUCGAGAGGUUUGCUGGACGUAUCAGAAGUGCGAAUGCUGACAUAAGUAACGAUAAAACGAGUGAAAAACUCGUUCGCCGGAAGAUCAAGGUUUCCUGUCCAACGUUAAUCGGGGCAGGGUGAGUCGACCCCUAAGGCAAGGCUGAAAAGCGUAGUCGAUGGGAAACGGGUUAAUAUUCCCGUACUUGUAAUAACUGCGAUGUGGGGACGGAGAAGGUUAGGUUAUCAGGGUAUUGGAUAUCCCUGUUUAAGCCGGUAGGUGGGAAUUCUAGGCAAAUCCGGAAUUCUGUAUAACACCGAGAAGUGAUGACGAGGCUCUAAGGAGCUGAAGUAACUGAUACCACGCUUCCAGGAAAAGCCACUAAGCAUAGGUUAUUAUAAAUCGUACUGUAAACCGACACAGGUGAUCAGGUAGAGAAUACUCAGGCGCUUGAGAGAACUCGGGUGAAGGAACUAGGCAAAAUAGCACCGUAACUUCGGGAGAAGGUGCGCCGGCGUAGAUUGUAGCCCUUUACGGGUGAAGGUUGAACCGGUCGAAGAUACCAGCUGGCUGCAACUGUUUAUUAAAAACACAGCACUCUGCAAACACGAAAGUGGACGUAUAGGGUGUGAUGCCUGCCCGGUGCUGGAAGGUUAAUUGAUGAUGUAAUCGAAAGAGAAGCUUCUGAUAGAAGCCCCAGUAAACGGCGGCCGUAACUAUAACGGUCCUAAGGUAGCGAAAUUCCUUGUCGGGUAAGUUCCGACCUGCACGAAUGGCAUAAUGAUGGCCAGGCUGUCUCCACCCGAGACUCAGUGAAAUUGAAAUCGCCGUGAAGAUGCGGUGUACCCGCGGCUAGACGGAAAGACCCCGUGAACCUUUACUAUAGCUUGACACUGAACCUUGAAUUUUAAUGUGUAGGAUAGGUGGGAGACUU